CAACCAGUGAGUAAUCCGAGGGAACAAUGCAUGGCUCAAGAGACUCAUCCGAAUGAUGUUCACCAUGAACAAGCUAAUGCCAUGACUACCUUAAGAAGCGGACGCGUAGUGGACAAUAAGGUUGGAGAAAAAGAACAUAAGAAAAAUGAAGACAAGAGUAUGACUGUGCCUAACAAGAAUCCAAACACUUUCUUAUCUCCAUCUAGUCCAGUAUCGACCAUACCUUUUACACCGAAGGCUCCUUUUCCUCAGUGUCUGAAUGCACCUUCUUCCUUUGGCAAGAAAGAAACUUCGUUGGAAGAAAUAAUGGAGGUAUUCAAAUAAGUCAAAAUCAACCUCCCUCUCCUUGAUGCUAUAAAACAAGUUACAUCGUAUGCCAAAUUUCUCAAAGACCUUUGUACCCAGAAACGAAAAUCUAGGACACAUGUGCCUAAAAAGGUCUUCCUAACUGAACAAGUGAGCUCCAUCCUCCAGCACAA
rnacentral:lncRNA from 1 species